GAGGCUGUAGUUCCAUGGCAGAACAUCUGCUUGGCAUGCAGACACUUCCAGGUUCAAUCCCGGGCAUCUUCA
rnacentral:tRNA from 1 species